UCUCUCUCUGCCCAGGCUUCAUCCGGAGAGACAAUCCGCAGCCCCUUGUGUCUGUCUAGCUACUAGUGUCUGUCCAGCUACCGUGUGUCUCUCUAAGAACUUUCACCCUCAAAGACAAGGGAAAAUGGGACUUAGUUUUUCUUGUAGCAGCCUUGGAAGGUGUCUGGUCGCAGACACUGGUGGAGUCCGGAGGGGGUGUGAAGAAGCCCGGAGACUCUCUGCGCCUCUCCUGCAAAGCCUCCGGCUUCACCUUCAGCAGCUACUGGAUGAGCUGGGUCCGCCAGGCUCCCGGGAAGGGGCU